CCUACGGGGAGCUGCAGUGAGGAAUAUUGGUCAAUGGGCGAGAGCCAGAACCAGCCAAGUCGCGUGAGGGAGUACUGCCCUAUGGGUUGUAAACCUCUUUUGUCGGGGAGCAAAAGCCGGACGUGUCCGGCUGUGAGAGUACCCGAAGAAAAAGCAUCGGCUAACUCCGUGCCAGCAGCCGCGGUAAUACGGAGGAUGCGAGCGUUAUCCGGAUUUAUUGGGGUUAAAGGGUGCGCAGGCGGAUUUUUAAGUCAGCGGUCAAAUCGUGGGGCUCAACCCCAUCCAGCCGUUGAAACUGGGGAUCUAGAGUGUGCGAGAGGUAUGCGGAAUGCGUGGUGUAGCGGUGAAAUGCAUAGAUAUCACGCAGAACCCCGAUUGCGAAGGCAGCAUACCGGUGCACAACUGACGCUCAGGCACGAAAGCGUGGGUAUCGAACAGGAUUAGAUACCCCAGUAGUC
rnacentral:rRNA from 1 species